rnacentral:lncRNA from 1 species
CCACGCCAGCCAAAUGAAUGCAUCCCCCCUACAGCAGCUUCGGUCCUGUUUGAGUAAAAGGGGAUCGAGCCAAGGAAAAAUUAGAGCGGGAGGGGCCGCGGCGGCGAUCUCACGGGCUGCUUACUCUACUUGGCCGGCCGCAUGACCAGCGGAGGUGCUAAUGGCGACCGACUACCUCGUGCCCCUAGUGGACAGGUCAAAAUGGGCAUUAUUUUCUGGAGGUUGGAGGUUAAUUUCUUUGCCUAAGGAUUGCUCAAAAAUCAACUGCAGGUUACCCAUCUUCGUGAAUGAGGCGUGCAGUGUAGCUAUUCUAAUGGACAUGGUGUGUGGCGGAGCUCCGGCGCAGGAUGAAUCGGGCGACGGAUCUAGAUGGGGAUAGAAGAAGCGGGGAACAGUGCAGUGGGAGGAUUUGGUGGCCAGCGUGGGGGGCAGCGUAGUGGUGCGCCCUACGGCGAGAAGACAAGUGGUGAUGCAGGUUGCAGAGCCGUGUCCGAUUUCAGUGAGAGUGAAAUUGAUAACGCGGAUGUGAUUGAGCAAGGCGACGCCCAGAUGGCACACAUGUGAUAUCUUUAAUCUCUGUUUUCCAUCAGCUAGCAGAAGCGCAGUAGCCAUCAGGUUGAUCACCUCCACCAUGACAAAAAGGUAUUCAUUUUUCUGGCCAUUUGUUUGCAAAAUGGGGAGGGGAUUAGAUGAUGUGUGGCAUACACUAGCUCAUUUGCAUAUAUAUAAAAAAGUUAGAUCAGUUAAAAAAAGGAUGUGGUGCUGGGUGCAUAGUUGGUUGCAUUUCCACGACUAUUCUACACACUAGGCAUAGUUUGUGUUCUGCUUAUGAAUUGUGAACUGGGAGUGGAAAAUCACAUGCUUUUAAUUUUGGUUUGUGACUUAUUUUUUGCUGGGCACAUAGUUUUCAAUGUUUCAGUAAAAGAGCCACCGAUUGGGCAUGAAGCAGUAGAUUUAUCAUUUGACUGAAGAUUCGUCAGUUUACACACGAUCUCUGACCAAGUGUGUCACUGCUGACGGAAUUUUCAGAGUUAAAAUUAAGUGGCCAUCGAUCCAACAGAGCUAGAAAUAUUGAUCAUGUAAAAAUUAGAUUGUAGGUCAUAGACAAUGUAUGAACAUGUAUGUUAAUUGCCGACCGAAUUUUCGGAGGUAGUAUAUGACGUAGAUUAGAAACACAAGAUGUCAUCAUGUCGUUGCAGAGCUUGAUUAAGUUUAUGCAGUACAUUUUAUGGAAUAUGCUAACUCUCCGUUCUGCUAAAAUUACAGGACACCUUGUCCCAGCAGGGUCGGCACACUCCGCUCCACUGAAAUUACAGGACCGGACGCCGUGUCCGGGGAGAAUUGGUGCACUGGAGCAAACGGUUCGGGUAUAUACAGAUAAGUUGGGUGAGCAUGCUGCUAUUGGGCUAACAUCGGACUCUGUGGGAGAAACCAAAUAUUUUUACAAUCUUUAUUCACGGAAGCAUGGUUUCGGCAUCAGAUAUGGGAAAAGUAGGCUUAACAUCGAGAAGACAAAGUGUAUGCAGGAAGUUGUCUAUGGAUAUGCUCUGUAAGUGUUCUUUAAAAAUCUGAAGUGGUAACUCAAUUUCCUGUUGGUGCAUAUGGGGUUCUGCCGCUUAACAAUGUAGUGCCUGUUCGAAACGCAGGGGAAGCCAAAUAUCAGAAAACAGCAGGUCCUGCCGGUGCGAGUGCCCAGCCAUGAUUCGAUUGCUCUACGCAGCUGACAAUGGGGUACACCUCGUUUGCCGCUGCAGUCAGAGAUGCAGUUGACGGCGAGCAGUUAGAUAUGUUCGCGAUGAUGAUGAAGGGGUCGGCUCAAUCAACGUGGAAGAUGGAUCAACAGGCGCUUGGCUAGACGGAAAGGCAACGCAGAUAAACUUUGCUUGGUGGAAUUUACUGUGAGGUCUGGGGGUUCUUCACUGUGAUUGAAUGAUAGACUGACAGUAGAGAUUUAGAAAUUUCCUGCACAUUUUGAAAUUUCAGAAUAAAGCUUGUGUCUUCAGAAGAAAACGUGUGAAGUUUCUGAACUGAAACAUGCACAUUUUGAAAUUUCAGAAUAAAGCUUGUGUCUUCAGAAGAAAACGUGUGAAGUUUCUGAACUGAAACAUGCACAUUUUGAAAUUUCAGAAUAAAGCUUGUGUCUUCAGAAGAAAACGUGUGAAGUUUCUGAACUGAAACAUGCACAUUUUGAAAUUUCAGAAUAACAGCUUGUGUCUUCAGAACCUGCGGUGCAUGCACGUUGCAUCAUAAAGUAUAGGCUGCAAGGCUUGUUUGCAAUUAAUGACUGAAAACAUUCAUAUUUUAACUUGUAGUGUUUUACUCAGAAUAGGAGUGUGUCCGCAUUGCAUCAUCAAUUACGAAGUGCAGUUCAUUGUCCCUGAUAUCUGCUGCAAAUUGCAGGGUUAGAGUUGGUAGCCAUACCCUUGACAGGAUUGCUCAUGUUGGGACGACGGGGUAGGUGGGAGCUGUGUGGAGACAUGGGUGGCUUGCGCCGUAACGUCCUAACGGAGCUAUAACUCUGAGACGGACGUCGGUGCAUUAAAUGGCAGCAGUGUGGGGCCAUUGCACUGUUGAAUAAUUGACCCACGCUCAGGAAUACAACCCAGAAUACAUAGCAUGUCACGCAUCACGAGGAGAGUUGGUGGUCCCGAUAUCAGGAGCAUCUGGACCGGGAGCCAAAUUGCUUUUCGGACAGUCCCACACUAGGACUAUGCAAAAAUUGACUCGUAAUACUUAUGUACUCCCUCUGUAAACUAAUAUACGAGCGUUUAGAUUACUAAAAUACUAAUUUUGCAUAUUUAUAAAAUACUAUGCACUGCCUAUUGCUUAAGCGGUUGUAAACAUUUCUAGUGUAAGUCGAUUUUCUGUAUCGUU